CUCCUGAGUCUUUUCAGCUGCAGUGUUCACUGUUGUCAUCCCAUCAUAAUUUUUCACCCAGUGUCCACCAGUGCUAUUGCGAAAUUCCUAACCAACGUUCAGUAUGAUGUUGCGCUCAACAACCGUACCAGCGAAGAGUUCCAAAAUCUGGAAAAACAGAUUAUUGAUGUGAUUGAUGAAAUAUCCCAAACCAGAUAUGGAAAACUCUAUAAAAGAACAAUUGUUAUUGGUUUCAGGUAAGCUAGCUAUGGCUUUAACCUUUCCCUAUGGCAAUGUGGGUAGGUUUUAUCAGGACGUAGAUACAGUGGUUUUAUUAGGACGUAGAUACAAUACAGUGGUUUUAUAAGGACGUAGAUACAGUGGUUUUAUUAGGUCGUAGAUACAGUGGUUUUAUAAGGACGUAGAUAGAGUGGUUUUAUAAGGACGUAGAUACAGUGGUUUUAUCAGGACGUAGUUAGAGUGGUUUUAUCAGGACGUAGAUACAGUGGUUUUAUUAGGUCGUAGAUACAGUGGUUUUAUAAGGACGUAGAUACAGUGGUUUUAUCAGGACGUAGUUAGAGUGGUUUUAUCAGGACGUAGAUACAGUGGUUUUAUUAGGACGUAGAUACAGUGGUUU
ensembl:lncRNA